GCUGCGCUAAAUUUAAAAUUGCGUUUAAAUUUUUUUUAAUAUUUGUUUUGUAUGCAGCUUGAUUGUUGGAGUAUCAGUUGUACAUAUCCACAAGAUAAUUGUAUAUAAAGGAGUUAGUAGUUAAGUUUAAACUAAACUUCGGUUUUCAGAUGCUCAGGUUAAGACUCAGGUUACGGCUGCUAUUAAAGCAUUGAUCUUUUUGUUACCGAUGACUGGAAAAAAAUGGUUAACAGCAAAAGAAUUUAAACAGUACAAAAUUGAACUAUUAACUUUUGUUAUAAAAGUUCAUUAUAUAGUGUAGAUUCACUUUUUAAACUGAACUAACAAAUUUUGUUGUUGUUGUCCUGUAUAUAUAUAUUUAUUAUUGUUUAAAAUGUAACUAUGCCAAUCUUAAAUUGUGAUCUCGACAUUUGUAAAUUUUUACUGUGUACUAUUUGUAGAUUACAGUUAUUAAUAUGUAUA